rnacentral:rRNA from 1 species
UACGUAGGGUGCAAGCGUUAAUCGGAAUUACUGGGCGUAAAGCGUGCGCAGGCGGUUUUGUAAGUCUGUUGUGAAAUCCCCGGGCUUAACCUGGGAAUGGCAAUGGAGACUGCAAGGCUAGAGUUUGGCAGAGGGGGGUAGAAUUCCACGUGUAGCAGUGAAAUGCGUAGAGAUGUGGAGGAACACCAAUGGCGAAGGCAGCCUUCUGGGCCAACACUGACGCUCAUGCACGAAAGCGUGGGGAGCAAACAGG